GGACUACUAGGGUUUCUAAUCCCGUUUGCUCCCCUGGCCUUCGUGUCUCAGUGUCAGGAACUGUCCAGAGACCCGCCUUCGCCACUGGUCUUCCUUACGAUAUCUACGCAUUUCACUGCUACACCGUAAAUUCCAGUCUCCUCUCCAGUCCUCAAGCACCGCAGUAUCGAAUGCAGUUUCAGAGUUAAGCUCUAAAAUUUCACACCCGACUUACGGCGCCACCUACACACCCUUUACGCCCAAUGAAUCCGAACAACGCUUGAGACCUCUGUAUUACCGCGGCUGCUGGCAC
rnacentral:rRNA from 2 species